rnacentral:lncRNA from 1 species
GAAUUUCGAGUGACAUUGUUCGUCGGGCUUCUGUAACCAAUUGACGGAAGUCGUGCUAUUGAAGGUGUUGUUUACUUGUUGUUGUGUUGAUUUUUAUUGGACGGUCUCGAUAUCCAUGAUGAAAAGAUGAUGUGGCAACGAUGGUGUAAGGACCUUCAUACCUUCUUGAAUGCAUUGUUGCGGCAGAAAUUGAAUUAGUUGUAGGUAAUCUUUUUUAUAUCUUUGUAAUGAUUUGACCGUGGUUGUAUUUGUUUUGUAUUCUGGCUAAUA